CCUAUUUUUCUUAGCUCCCUUGCCUCAUUCCUUAGCUUCAUCUUCUCUCUCUAACCGCAAGAACCCAUCGUUCUCCCAUUCUCACGUUCGUGGCCCAAACUUUGGAUUGGGCUCAGCAAGAAGAAGACAACACUGUCACCGUCGAAGACGAAGAAGAAGAAGGUUUCAAUGAAACUGAAGCGGGUCUUUCGGAAUGGGAACCCAACGGCAAAGACGCUGAGAGCGGCGAAGAAGUAGAAGAUGGUCCCCUCUUUUCUAGAUUGGUGUUGGACUUUUUGCACUAUUUUCAUUGGUAGCUACAUGAUUAAAGGUGAGUUUCGCAUUAUUGCGAGUCAUGGAUAUAAGCUGGUACGUUCUUUGAGUUCCACCUAAGAUAUAGGGAACAUAUCAAGUGGAGGAGUGGUUUAUUGUGAGAAUGAGAGGAGAAAAUCUUUAAUAUUAGAUAGUACGUGAAUAGUCAAUAUUAGAAUAUAAAGUCACUUGACCCUUUUAAUUAAGUGAUCACAUGACUUUUAAAUAACUUCUAUUAAAAAUGAUAGGACACCACACGACUAUGGUACAACAUAUAAAAACUCAAAUCUUAAUUCAAAGAGAGAAUCAAUUCUUUAAAAGUUAGCUUGAAUCAUUGUAGACAUAAAAUGCUACAAAUAGCAUUUUAGGGACUGGUGGCUUGCUAUUGGAACAAAUAGCAUCUCUCUAUUUAAAUCACACACUUCUUUGCAUUAUC